CCGAGUGGCCGCCUUCCCUGUCCUCCAGGAGCUCACGUAUGCCUGCCUGUGAGCGCCUCGACGACAGAGCCGGCGUCCGCCUCAGCACCUGCAUG
rnacentral:pre_miRNA from 17 species